CCUUCGGGGUACUCGAGUGGCGAACGGGUGAGUACACGUGGGUGAUCUGCCCUGCACUUUGGGAUAAGCCUGGGAAACUGGGUCUAAUACCGAAUACACCUCAUGGGAUGCAUGUUUUGUGGGGGAAAGCUUUUGCGGUGUGGGAUGGGCCCGCGGCCUAUCAGCUUGUUGGUGAGGUUACGGCUCACCAAGGCGACGACGGGUAGCCGGCCUGAGAGGGUGUCCGGCCACACUGGGACUGAGAUACGGCCCAGACUCCUACGGGAGGCAGCAGUGGGGAAUAUUGCACAAUGGGCGCAAGCCUGAUGCAGCGACGCCGCGUGAGGGAUGACGGCCUUCGGGUUGUAAACCUCUUUCGCCAGGGACGAAGCGCGAGUGACGGUACCUGGAGAAGAAGCACCGGCCAACUACGUGCCA
rnacentral:rRNA from 1 species